rnacentral:rRNA from 1 species
GAUGAACGCUGGCGGCGUGCCUAAUACAUGCAAGUCGAGCGAACAGACGAGGAGCUUGCUCCUCUGACGUUAGCGGCGGACGGGUGAGUAAUACGUGGAUAACCUACCUAUAAGACUGGGAUAACUUCGGGAAACCGGAGCUAAUACCGGAUAAUAUAUUGAACCGCAUGGUUCAAUAGUGAAAGACGGUUUUGCUGUCACUUAUAGAUGGAUCCGCGCCGCAUUGGCUAGUUGGUAAGGUAACGGCUUACCAAGGCAACGAUGCGUAGCCGACCUGAGAGGGUGAUCGGCCACACUGGAACUGAGACACGGUCCAGACUCCUACGGGAGGCAGCAGUAGGGAAUCUUCCGCAAUGGGCGAAAGCCUGACGGAGCAACGCCGCGUGAGUGAUGAAGGUCUUCGGAUCGUAAAACUCUGUUAUUAGGGAAGAACAAAUGUGUAAGUAACUAUGCACGUCUUGACGGUACCUAAUCAGAAAGCCACGGCUAACUACGUG